rnacentral:rRNA from 1 species
CAGUCGCCACGGUAAUACGAAGGGUGCAAGCGUUAAUCGGAAUUACUGGGCGUAAAGCGUGCGUAGGCGGUGAGUUAAGUCUGCUGUGAAAUCCCCGGGCUCAACCUGGGAAUGGCAGUGGAUACUGGCUCGCUAGAGUGUGUCAGAGGACGGUGGAAUUCCCGGUGUAGCGGUGAAAUGCGUAGAGAUCGGGAGGAACAUCAGUGGCGAAGGCGGCCAUCUGGGACAACACUGACGCUGAGGCACGAAAGCGUGGGGAGCAAACAGGAUUAGAUACCCCAGUAGUCCCUGUCUCUUAUAA